CGGCACGUACAGCAGCGUGCCGCCCCGCGCGCCCCGGCGACGCGCGAUGCGCGCCACGGCGCGCGCGAACGCGCCCGUGUUGAGCGUCUGCCCGUCCCCGCGCGCCCCGAAGCUGGCCACGGACAUCCACGCCCCGCGCCGCGGCGCCGGCCCCGACCAGCACGUCUCCUGCGCCCCCGCCGAUGGUGGCGGCGGCAGCAGCAGCAGCAGGACCGCCGCCGCCGCCGCGAGGAGCAGGCCCAGCGUCGGCGGCAUUCUUCUCUCGUGGCGUGGCGUGGCUGUGAGAGUGAGGGAAGCGACGAGCAGGAGGGGACAAGGCGCAAAAGCUGCUCUGCGUCCCGGCUUUCAGCGU
rnacentral:misc_RNA from 1 species